rnacentral:miRNA from 1 species
AAAUACAGUUAAAUUUGAAUUUCAGAUAAACAGUGAAUUAUUUUUAGUACAAGUAUGUCCCAUGAAACAUUUGUGACAUACUUAUACUAAAAAAUUAUUUGUUAUUUAUUGAAAUUCAAAUUUAGUUGUGUGUCCUGUAUUUU